AGAGUUUGAUCCUGGCUCAGGAUGAACGCUAGCGGCAGGCCUAACACAUGCAAGUCGAACGGUAACAUGAGAGCCUGCUCUUGAUGACGAGUGGCGCACGGGUGCGUAACGCGUAUGCAACCUACCUUUUACUGAGGGAUAGCCCAGAGAAAUUUGGAUUAAUACCUCAUAGUAUCAUAAAUGUUCAUGCAUUAAUGAUUAAAACUUCGGUGGUAAAAGAUGGGCAUGCGUAAGAUUAGCUAGUUGGUAAGGUAACGGCCUACCAAGGCAACGAUCUUUAGGGGGCCUGAGAGGGUGGUCCCCCACACCGGUACUGAGACACGGACCAGACUCCUACGGGAGGCAGCAGUGAGGAAUAUUGGUCAAUGGACGCAAGUCUGAACCAGCCAUGCCGCGUGAAGGAAGAAGGUGUUCUGCAUCGUAAACUUCUUUUAUAUAGGAAGAAACUUCUCUACGUGUAGAGAACUGACGGUACUAUAUGAAUAAGGACCGGCUAACUCCGUGCCAGCAGCCGCGGUAAUACGGAGGGUCCAAGCGUUAUCCGGAUUUAUUGGGUUUAAAGGGUCCGUAGGCGGAUUUUUAAGUCAGUGGUGAAAGCCUGCAGCUCAACUGCAGAACUGCCAUUGAUACUGGAAAUCUUGGGUGUAUUUGAAGUGGGCGGAAUGUGUCAUGUAGCGGUGAAAUGCAUAGAUAUGACACAGAACACCGAUUGCGAAGGCAGCUCACUAAACUACAACUGACGCUGAGGGACGAAAGCGUGGGGAGCGAACAGGAUUAGAUACCCUGGUAGUCCACGCCGUAAACGAUCAUCACUCGCUGUUGGCGAUACACAGUCAGCGGCCAAGCGAAAGCAUUAAGUGAUGCACCUGGGAAGUACGGUCGCAAGAUUGAAACUCAAAGGAAUUGACGGGGGCCCGCACAAGCGGUGGAGCAUGUGGUUUAAUUCGAUGAUAUGCGAGGAACCUUACCAGGGCUUAAAUGCAGAAUGACAGUUUGAGAAAUCAGAUUUUCUUCGGACAUUUUGCAGGGUGCUGCAUGGUUGUCGUCAGCUCGUGCCGUGAGGUGUCAGGUUAAGUCCUAUAACGAGCGCAACCCCUAUCUUUAGUUGCCAGCGGGUCAUGCCGGGGACUCUAAAGAAACUGCCAGCGCAAGCUGUGAGGAAGGUGGGGAUGACGUCAAAUCAUCACGGCCCUUACGUCCUGGGCUACACACGUGCUACAAUGGUAACGACAGAGGGCAGCCACCACGCGAGUGGGAGCGAAUCCUUAAACGUUAUCUCAGUUCGGAUUGGAGUCUGCAACUCGACUCCAUGAAGCUGGAAUCGCUAGUAAUCGCGCAUCAGCCAUGGCGCGGUGAAUACGUUCCCGGGCCUUGUACACACCGCCCGUCAAGCCAUGGAAGCCGGGGGUGCCUGAAGUCGGUAACCGCAAGGAGCUGCCUAGGGUAAAACUGGUAACUAGGGCUAAGUCGGAACAAGGUA
rnacentral:rRNA from 1 species